rnacentral:rRNA from 1 species
AUACGGAGGGGGCAAGCGUUGUUCGGAAUUACUGGGCGUAAAGGGUGUGUAGGUGGCUUUGUUAGUCUUAUGUUAAAGCCCGCGGCUUAACCGCGGAUAUGCAUUAGAUACGGCAACGCUAGAGGAUGUGAGGGGUUUAUGGAACUCAUGGUGUAGGGGUGAAAUCCGUUGAUAUCAUGGGGAACACCAAAAGCGAAGGCAAUAAACUGGCACAUUCCUGACACUGAGACACGAAAGCGUGGGUAGCGAAUGGGAUUAGAAACCCCUGUAGUCC